GGUUAAGCGACUAAGCGUACACGGUGGAUGCCCUGGCAGUCAGAGGCGAUGAAGGACGUGCUAAUCUGCGAUAAGCGCCGGUAAGGUGAUAUGAACCGUUAUAACCGGCGAUUUCCGAAUGGGGAAACCCAGUGUGACUCGUCACACUAUCAUUAACUGAAUCCAUAGGUUAAUGAGGCGAACCGGGGGAACUGAAACAUCUAAGUACCCCGAGGAAAAGAAAUCAACCGAGAUUCCCCCAGUAGCGGCGAGCGAACGGGGAGGAGCCCAGAGCCUGAAUCAGCAUGUGUGUUAGUGGAAGCGUCUGGAAAGGCGCGCGAUACAGGGUGACAGCCCCGUACACAAAAGCGCAUGUGUUGUGAGCUCGAUGAGUAGGGCGGGACACGUGGUAUCCUGUCUGAAUAUGGGGGGACCAUCCUCCAAGGCUAAAUACUCCUGACUGACCGAUAGUGAACCAGUACCGUGAGGGAAAGGCGAAAAGAACCCCGGCGAGGGGAGUGAAAAAGAACCUGAAACCGUGUACGUACAAGCAGUGGGAGCCCCACCACUAAGCCAGUGGUGAACUCCACAUACGCAUCCUUUGCUGAAGGUGCGGUUAACGGAGCGCAAGCGACGUUCAACCUCAAAAGAAGCAGAGGGGGCUUAGUGGUGGGGUGACUGCGUACCUUUUGUAUAAUGGGUCAGCGACUUAUAUUCUGUAGCAAGGUU
rnacentral:rRNA from 1 species